rnacentral:lncRNA from 1 species
AUUGUGGGAAACGUAGUCUCCCGAGGCGGCCUUCCGCUUUAGCUUCUUCCCUGUCAUGGCUGCUUCCCGUCCGUGAACAUCGGAGGCCUGAGCCCGGGGAGUGUUGGCUGCUUUCGCCCCUGCCGCCGCGCUGGGUGCUCCCAGAGAAAGCCGUCGCGUGCACCCCGCGCCGCCGGGAACCCUACCCUGGGCCGACCGCGCCUUAAUUCUCUAACUUUGCCUCGGGCCGAGAGGGGCCGCGGGAAGGAGCUCGGGGACCCGUCGGCUCCGCAGAGACCGGCUUCCGCACGCUGCCGUCUCUCCAAAUCAUAGCUCUAGAAGGAUCCUCAGAAGUCCUUUGAUUUAAAAUGCACAUUCUUUCCAUAAUGGGACUGAUAUUUUAACACUGGAACUGAAUAUGGCUUCCCUUGGAAAUCCUAAACCUAUGAUUUCGUGGAAAUCCCAGCAUUCCCAGAUAAGAAAAAUAGGAUUUGUACACCAGUUCUCUGACUUUAAAGCUAGUGUUCUGUCCAUUGUACCACAAUUGGCUCCCUAUUAUUAAUGUAAUGCAGAUCAGGGAAAUAUAAUAAAG